rnacentral:rRNA from 1 species
UUGACCUCAAAUCAGGUAGGACUACCCGCUGAACUUAAGCAUAUCAAUAAGCGGAGGAAAAGAAACUAACAAGGAUUCCCCUAGUAACUGCGAGUGAAGCGGGAAAAGCUCAAAUUUGAAAUCUGGCGGUCCUUGACUGUCCGAGUUGUAAUCUAGAGAAGUGUUACCUGUGCUGGACCGUGUACAAGUCUCCUGGAAUGGAGCAUCACAGAGGGUGAGAAUCCCGUCUUUGACACGGACUGCCUGUACAUUAUGGUGCGCUCUCAAAGAGUCGAGUUGUUUGGGAAUGCAGCUCAAAAUGGGUGGUAAAUGCCAUCUAAAGCUAAAUAUUGGCGAGAGACCGAUAGCGAACAAGUACCGUGAGGGAAAGAUGAAAAGAACUUUGGAAAGAGAGUUAAACAGUACGUGAAAUUGCUGAAAGGGAAACGCUUGAAGUCAGUCGCGUCGGCUAGAAAUCAGCCUUGCUUUUGCUUGGUGUACUUUCUGGUUGACGGGUCAGCAUCAAUUUUGACCAUUGGAUAAAGUCGUUGGGAAUGUGGCAUCUUCGGAUGUGUUAUAGCCCUAUGUCGCAUACAGUGGUUGGGAUUGAGGAACUCAGCACGCCGCAAGGCCGGGUUUCGACCACGUUCGUGCUCAGGAUGCUGGCAUAAUGGCUUUAAUCGACCCGUC